rnacentral:rRNA from 1 species
AUUGAACGCUGGCGGCAGGCCUAACACAUGCAAGUCGAACGAGCGGCGGACGGGCGAGUAAUGUCUGGGAAACUGCCUGAUGGAGGGGGAUAACUACUGGAAACGGUAGCUAAUACCGCAUACCAUCGGAUUUGCCCAGAUGGGAUUAGCUAGUAGGUGGGGUAACGGGUCACCUUGGCGACGAUCCCUAGCUGGUCUGAUAGGAUGACCAGCCAAGAGUGAACUGAGACACGGUCCAGACGCCGACGGGAGGCAGCAGUGGGGAAUAUUGCACAAUGGGCGCAAGCCUGAUGCAGCCAUGCCGCGUGUGUGAAGAAGGCCUUCGGGUUGUAAAGUACUUUCAGCGGGGAGGCGUUACCCGCAGAAGAAGCACCGGCUAACUCCGUGCCAGCAGCCGCGGUAAUUC